AUGGCUGCAGACCCGGAGGCAGCAGAUCUGAGCAGCAGAUCUGAACCGCAGUUCUAGGCGUCAUAGAGCCCCCUACUGGAUUACUUUAUAACUGCAACUAAAUCAACAGUUCAGAUCGAGACUUCUCGUUUUUUUCCGGCAGCGUGCUCUUUUCUCCUUUUCUCAAGAUGGAUGACGACCGGAGUGUACACAUAACAAUCCAGAAAGGAAGGGCCUUGCCCCAACUUCACAGAUGCACAUCAUGCUGCAAUAACUACCACUGUCCAUUCUGCAGCCCUCCAGUUUACUACCCCUCCCCGUUGAACAAAUGUCAGAUACACAUGGAUCUUCAUUUUAACAGAGCUGUUAGCCAUGAAGAAUACACCAUUCACAGAUGUGGACUGGGAUGUCGGCCGCAGCUGCAUUAUCACUGUCCAUACUGCAGUUCAACAAUAAAACGGAAAGACGAUUUUAUUAAACAUAUACAUUGGUGCAAGAAGAAACCAGGUUCCAACCCUACAGUCCCACCAACCACCACCACCCCCCUGGCACCAACCGCUCCUUAAUGUGGGAUGUGACUGCACCUGCACUGAAUAUAUAUUAUAUACUGUACAUUUCAUCAAGAUGAGACAAUUGUUUACCCCAAGUUAUAUUGUUAAAUAAAUGUUAUAUUGUUCUGUUUGGGAACUUUGGACUUAAUACUACCAUACUUACCAUUUCAGUAUAUCAAAGUGUUUUUAUUUCUUUAUUUCUUUUUUUAACAAUUACUACAACAAAAGUGAGGACUUGACACCCAAAUACACUAUGUUGUAGUGGGUUUGAUCAAUGCUGUUCAAGUUUUGGGGGUAAUAUAUCCCACUAAACGCCACAUCUUAGUCCUCUCUGUCAGUGGCAAGACAGUUGUCAUCUUCUCUGUCCCAGUCUCUUUUCAUAUUCACGCAAUUGCAACACCUUUAUAAUUCUGUGCAUAUAACAGUCCUG